rnacentral:tRNA from 1 species
UCAUCGGUGGUCCAGUGGUUCAGACUCUGCACUUUCAUUGCAAGGGACUUGGGUUAGAUUCCUGGUUGAAGAA